GGAGCACGAAGGUCAGCUAAUCCUGGUCGGACAUCAGGAGGUUAGUGCAAUGGCAUAAGCUGGCUUGACUGCGAGCGUGACGGCGCGAGCAGGUGCGAAAGCAGGUCAUAGUGAUCCGGUGGUUCUGAAUGGAAGGGCCAUCGCUCAACGGAUAAAAGGUACUCCGGGGAUAACAGGCUGAUACCGCCCAAGAGUUCAUAUCGACGGCGGUGUUUGGCACCUCGAUGUCGGCUCAUCACAUCCUGGGGCUGAAGUAGGUCCCAAGGGUAUGGCUGUUCGCCAUUUAAAGUGGUACGCGAGCUGGGUUUAGAACGUCGUGAGACAGUUCGGUCCCUAUCUGCCGUGGGCGCUGGAGAAUUGAGGGGGGCUGCUCCUAGUACGAGAGGACCGGAGUGGACGCAUCACUGGUGUUCGGGUUGUCAUGCCAAUGGCAUUGCCCGGUAGCUAAAUGCGGAAGAGAUAAGUGCUGAAAGCAUCUAAGCACGAAACUUGCCCCGAGAUGAGUUCUCCCUGACUCCUUGAGAGUCCUGAAGGAACGUUGAAGACGACGACGUUGAUAGGCCGGGUGUGUAAGCGCAGCGAUGCGUUGA
rnacentral:rRNA from 1 species